UACGUAGGGUGCGAGCGUUGUCCGGAAUUAUUGGGCGUAAAGAGCUUGUAGGCGGUUUGUCGCGUCUGCCGUGAAAGCCCAGGGCUUAACCCUGGGUCUGCGGUGGGUACGGGCAGACUAAAGUGUGGUAGGGGAGACUGGAAUUCCUGGUGUAGCGGUGAAAUGCGCAGAUAUCAGGAGGAACACCGGUGGCGAAGGCGGGUCUCUGGGCCGAUACUGACGCUGAGGAGCGAAAGCGUGGGGGAGCGAACAGG
rnacentral:rRNA from 1 species